UACGUAGGGUGCAAGCGUUGCCCGGAUUUAUUGGGCGUAAAGGGCGCGUAGGCGGCUCGGCACGUCCGUUGUGAAAUCGCCCGGCUCAACUGGGCGGGGUCAGCGGAUACGGCCGAGCUUGAGCAAGCUAGGGGGCAAUGGAAUUCCCGGUGUAGUGGUGGAAUGCGUAGAUAUCGGGAGGAACACCGGUGGCGAAGGCGGUUCUCUGGGCCUUACCUGACGCUGAGGAGCGAAAGCGUGGGAGCGAACAGG
rnacentral:rRNA from 1 species